UAGCACACAAAUCUAGUUCCAAUGGGAAGAGGACAAGAGAGAAAAGGCAAAAAGAGAGCGAAAGGAAGAUGUUUGGUACAACUCCAGGUAAGAUAGGGUACUCGGAUACUCAUGUGAAUACCAACCAUUAGAUCGGCGAACCAACCUCUCAAAGGCACCCUGGUUUAGAUACCGCAACUUCUGGACAUUAGUGGGUAGAGCCCCGAAGAUGGAGAUCAGAUUUGUGUCGAGACUCAAACCUACGAUUUUCUAGAAGAGCCUAAUUCUUUAAAGGUUCGUCCAAAG
rnacentral:lncRNA from 1 species